AUUGAACGCUGGCGGAAUGCUUUACACAUGCAAGUCGAACGGCAGCACGGGUGCUUGCACCUGGUGGCGAGUGGCGAACGGGUGAGUAAUACAUCGGAACGUACCCAGUUGUGGGGGAUAACGAGUCGAAAGAUUCGCUAAUACCGCAUACGACCUGAGGGUGAAAGCGGGGGGACCGUAAGGCCUCGCGCAAUUGGAGCGGCCGAUGUCUGAUUAGCUAGUUGGUGGGGUAAAGGCUCACCAAGGCGACGAUCAGUAGCUGGUCUGAGAGGAUGAUCAGCCACACUGGAACUGAGACACGGUCCAGACUCCUACGGGAGGCAGCAGUGGGGAAUUUUGGGACAAUGGGGGAAACCCUGAUCCAGCCAUUCCGCGUGAGUGAAGAAGGCCUCGG
rnacentral:rRNA from 1 species